rnacentral:rRNA from 1 species
GAUGAACGCUGGCGGCGUGCCUAAUACAUGCAAGUCGAGCGAACGGACGAGAAGCUUGCUUCUCUGAUGUUAGCGGCGGACGGGUGAGUAACACGUGGAAAACCUACCUAUAAGACGGGGAAAACUUCGGAAAACCGGAGCUAAUACCGGAUAAUAUUUUGAACCGCAUGGUUCAAAAGUAAAAGACGGUCUUGCGGUCACUAAUAGAUGGAUCCGCGCUGCAUUAGCUAGUUGGUAAGGUAACGGCUUACCAAGGCAACGAUGCAUAGCCGACCUAAGAGGGUGAUCGGCCACCCUGGAGCUGAGACACGGUCCAGACUCCUACGGUAGGCAGCAGUAGGGAAUCUUCCGCAAUGGGCGAAAGCCUGACGGAGCAACGCCGCGUGAGUGAUGAAGGUCUUCGGAUCGUAAAACUCUGUUAUUAGGGAAGAACAUAUGUGUAAGUAACUGUGCACAUCUUGACGGUACCUAAUCAGAAAGCCACGGCUAACUACGUG